UUGGAGGGCAAGUCUGGUGCCAGCAGCCGCGGUAAUUCCAGCUCCAAUAGCGUAUAUUAAAGUUGUCGCAGUUAAAAAGCUCGUAGUUGAAUUUCGGGGUUAGUAGGUUGGUCAUGCCUCUGGUAUGUACUGGUCUCACUGAUUCCUCCUUCCUGAUGAACCUUAAUGCCAUUUAUUUGGUGUUUUGGGGAAUUUGGACUGUUACUUUGAAAAAAUUAGAGUGUUUAAAGCAAGCUAACGCUUGAAUACAUUAGCAUGGAAUAAUGAAAUAGGACGUUCGAUCCUAUUUUGUUGGUUUCUAGGAUUGACGUAAUGAUUAAUAGGGAUAGUUGGGGGCAUUAGUAUUCAAUUGUCAGAGGUGAAAUUCGUGGAUUUAUUGAAGACUAACUACUGCGAAAGCAUUUGCCAAGGAUGUUUUUGUUAAUCAUGAACGAAAGUUAGGGGAUCGAAGACGAUCAGAUACCGUCGUAGUCUUAACCAUAAACUAUGCCGACUAGGGAUCGGAUGAUGUUAAUUUUUUAAUGACUCAUUCGGCGCCUUACGGGAAACCAAAGUGUUUGGGUUC
rnacentral:rRNA from 1 species